rnacentral:RNase_P_RNA from 1 species
CCAGUUGGCCGGGCAGCCGCGCUUUACCAAUGCCGAAAGGCGGUAGGGUGAGGAAAGUCCGGGCUCCACGGAAACACGGUGCCGGAUAACGUCCGGCGAGGGCGACCUCAGGGAAAGUGCCACAGAAAGCAAACCGCCUGCCUAGGCAGGUAAGGGUGAAAGGGUGGGGUAAGAGCCCACCGCAUUUCCGGUAACGGCGAUGGCAAGGUAAACCCCACCGGGAGCAAGACCGAAUAGGGAUGACGUGGGAGGCGAAAUCCUUCCGGCCGGUUUCCAGGUCAGUCAUCCGGGUGGGUUGCGUGAGGCAGCGUGCGAACGCUGUCCCAGAGGAAUGGCUGCCACGUUCCGGCUUCGGCCGGGGCCAUACAGAACCCGGCUUACAGGCCAGCUGGCGAA